UGAAUACGAGAUGCUACGGCGUCGAAGCAGUCUAUGUCAUACUUCCAAGAAAAGCUUGCACUGUCAUAAACAAAUAAUGCCUGUACCAUAACCGACACAGGUGGGUAGGUAGAGUAUACUAAGGGGCGCGAGAUAACUCUCUCUAAGGAACUCGGCAAAAUGACUCCGUAACUUCGGGAGAAGGAGUGCCUUAUUUAUAAGGUUGCAAUAACAAGAUCCAAGCAACUGUUUACCAAAAACACAGGUCUCCGCUAAGUCGUAAGACGAUGUAUGGGGGCUGACGCCUGCCCAGUGCCGGAAGGUUAAGGAAGUUGGUUAGUUUCGACGAAGCUGAUAACUGAAGCCCUGGUGAACGGCGGCCGUAACAAUAACGGUCCUAAGGUAGCGAAAUUCCUUGUCGGGUAAGUUCCGACCCGCACGAAAGGCGUAAUGAUUUGGAUACUGUCUCGGAGAGGGGCUCGGUGAAAUAGACUUGUCUGUGAAGAUGCGGACUACCUGCACCAGGACAGAAAGACCCUAUGAAGCUUUACUGUAACCUGAAAUUGAAAUUGGACUUUACUUGCGCAGUAUAGGUGGGAGGCGUUGAGAAUAUUCUUGCGGGAUUAUUGGAGCCAUCAGUGAGAUACCACUCUUGUAAUGUUAGAUUUCUAACUUUGUAUCAUUAUCUGGUCAAAGAACAGUUUCAGGCGGGCAGUUUGACUGGGGCGGUCGCCUCCUAAACGGUAACGGAGGCGCACAAAGGUUUCCUCUGAACGGGUAGAAAUCGUAUCUGGAGUGUAAAGGCAUAAGGAAGCUUGACUGUGAGACCUACAAGUCGAGCAGGGACGAAAGUCGGUCUUAGUGAUCUGACGGUGCUGAGUGGAAAGGCCGUCACUCAACGGAUAAAAGUUACUCUAAGGAUAACAGGCUAAUCUCCCCCAAGAGUUCACAUCGACGGGGAGGUUUGGCACCUCGAUGUCGGCUCAUCGCAUCCUGGGGCGGUAGUACGUCCCAAGGGUUGGGCUGUUCGCCCAUGAAAGCGGUACGCGAGCUGGGUUCAGAACGUCGUGAGACAGUUCGGUCCAUAUCCGGUGUAGGCGUUAGAAUAUUGAGAGGAGCCUUCUUUAGUACGAGAGGACCGAGAAGGACAUACCUCUGGUGUACCAGUUAUCGUGCCAACGGUAAACGCUGGGUGGCUAUGUGUGGAGUGGAUAACCGCUGAAAGCAUCUAAGUGGGAAGCCCACCUCACGAUAAG
rnacentral:rRNA from 1 species